GUUGAACUUGAGUUUGUGAUUUUGUUGAACUUGAGUUUGUGUCGUGUUUUAACUUGAGUUUGUGAUGUUUUUGAAUUUGAGUUUGUGUGUUGGUUGAACUUGAGUUUGUGUUGUGUUUGACCUUGAGUUUGUGGUGUUUUUGAACUUAAGUUUGUUUCGUGUUUGAACUUGAGUUCUUGUCAUGUUUGAACUUGAGUUUGUGGUGUUUUUGAACUUGAGUUUGUGGUGUGUUUGAACUUGAGUUUGUGUGUUUUGUUGAACUUAAGGUUGUUGCAAUUUUUAAACUUGAGAUUUGGGAAUUUGUUAAACUUGAGUUAUUGUGUUUGUUGAACUUGAGUUCGUGUCGUGUUUGAACUUGAGUUUGUGGUGUUUUUGAACUUGAGUUUGUGUGUUUGUUGAACUUGAGUUUGUGUUGUGUUUGAACUUGAGUUUGUGUUGUUUUUGAGCUUGAGUGUGUGGUGUUUUUGAACUUGAGUUUAUGAUAUUUUUGAACUUGAGGUUGUGGAAAUUGUUUAACUUGAGAAUUGAGUAUUGUUUGAACUUGAGUUUUUUUGUUUUUGAACUUGAGUUUGUGUCGUGUUUAAACUUGAGUUUGUCGUGUGUUUGAACUUGAGUUUGUGUGUUUUUUGAACUUGAGGUUGUGGCAAUUGUUAAACUUGAGAUUUGGGUGAUCGUUGAACUUUAGUUUGUGUCGUGUUUGAACUUUAGUUAAUGUUGUUUGUUUAACUUGAGUUUGUCUGUUUUUUUAACUUGAGGUUUUGGCAAUUUUCAAGGUUGAGAUUUGGGUAUUGGUUGAACUUGAGUUAGUGUGUUUGUUGAACUUGAGUUCGUGUCGUGUUUGAACUUGAGUUUUUAGUGUUUUUGAACUUGAGUCUGUGUGUUUUUUUAACUUUAAUUUGUGUUGUGUUUGAACGUGAGUUUGUGGUGUUUUUGAACUUGUUUGUUUCAUGUUUGAACUUGAGUUUGUGGCGUUUGUUGAACUUGAGUUUGUGGUGUUUGUUGAACUUGAGUUUGUGUCAUGUUUGAACUUGAGUUUGUAGUGUGUUUGACCAUGAGUUUGUGGUGUGUUUGAACUUAAGUUUGUGUGUUUGUUGAACUUGAGGUUGUGGCAAUUUUCAAGCUUGAGAUUUGGAUGUUGGUUGAACUUGAGUUUGUGUGUUUUUUGAAUUUGAGUUCGUGUUGUUUGUUGAACUUGAGUUUGUGAAAAUUUUUAAACUUGAGAAUCAGGUGUUGGUUGAACUUGAGUUUGUGGUUUUUGGUAGACCAGAGUUUGUGUCGUGUUUGAACUUGAGUUUGUGGUGUUUUUGAACUUGAGUUUGUUUCGUGUUUGAACUUGAGUUUGUGGCAUUUGUUGAACUUGAGUUUGUGAAAAUUUUUAAACUUGAGAAUCAGGUGUUGGUUGAACUUGAGUUUGUGUGUUUUUUGAACUUGAGUUUCUGUUGUUUUUGAACUUGAGGUUGUGGAAAUGGUAAAACUUGAGAAUCAGGUGUUGGUUGAACUUGAGUUGCGUGUUUGGUGAAUUUGAGUUUGUAUUGUCGUUGUACUUGAGGUUUUGUUGUUUUUGAACUUGAGGUUGUGGAAAUUGUUAAACUUGAGAAUCAGGUGUUGGUUGAACUUGAGUUUGUGUGUUUGUUGAACUUGAGUUUGUGUCGUGUUUGAACUUGAGUUUGUGUCGUUUUUGAACUAUAGUUUGUGUGUUUGUUGAACUUGAGUUUGUGUUGUGUUUGAACUUGAGUUUGUGUGUAUUUUGAACUUGAGUUUGUUUCGUGUUUGGUGAACUUGAGAUUGUGUGAUUAUUGAACUUGAGUUUCUGUUGUUUUUGAACUUGAGGUUUUGGAAAAGGUUAAACUUGAGAAUCAGGUUUUGGUUGAACUUGAGUUGCGUGUUUGGUGAACUUGAGUUUGUAUUGUCUUUGAACUUGAGUUUUUGGUGUUUUUGAACUUGUGUUUGUGUGUUUUUGAACUUGAGUUUGUGGUGUUUUUGAACUUAAGUUUGUUUCGUGUUUGAACUUGAGUUCUUGUCAUGUUUGAACUUGAGUUUGUGGUGUUUUUGAACUUGAGUUUGUGGUGUGUUUGAACUUGAGUUUGUGUGUUUUGUUGAACUUAAGGUUGUUGCAAUUUUUAAACUUGAGAUUUGGGAAUUUGUUAAACUUGAGUUAUUGUGUUUGUUGAACUUGUGUUCGUGUCGUGUUUGAACUUGAGUUUGUGGUGUUUUUGAACUUGAGUUUGUGUGUUUGUUGAACUUGAGUUUGUGUUGUGUUUGAACUUGAGUUUGUGUUGUUUUUGAGCUUGAGUGUGUGGUGUUUUUGAACUUGAGUUUAUGAUAUUUUUGAACUUGAGGUUGUGGAAAUUGUUUAACUUGAGAAUUGAGUAUUGUUUGAACUUGAGUUUUUUUGUUUUUGAACUUGAGUUUGUGUCGUGUUUUAACUUGAGUUUGUCGUGUGUUUGAACUUGAGUUUGUGUGUUUUUUGAACUUGAGGUUGUGGCAAUUGUUAAACUUGAGAUUUGGGUGAUCGUUGAACUUUAGUUUGUGUCGUGUUUGAACUUUAGUUAAUGUUGUUUGUUUAACUUGAGUUUGUCUGUUUUUUUAACUUGAGGUUUUGAAAUUUUUUAAACUUGAGAUUUGGGUAUUGGUUGAACUUGAGUUAGUGUGUUUGUUGAACUUGAGUUCGUGUCGUGUUUGAACUUGAGUUUUUAGUGUUUUUGAACUUGAGUCUGUGUGUUUUUUUAACUUUAAUUUGUGUUGUGUUUGAACGUGAGUUUGUGGUGUUUUUGAACUUGUGUUUGUUUCAUGUUUGAACUUGAGUUUGUGGCGUUUGUUGAAC